rnacentral:lncRNA from 1 species
UUAUAUUUCUCAUUUGCUAUGCAUUGCUUCUUCAAGACAUUUCAAAAUUUUCUCUAUUUCAUGUUUUUUAAAACCGCAUUACUCCAAUGUACUCCAUCCGCUUAUAACUGUUUCUCAUGUUUAAUAGUUACAAAAAGUUCACCUAAUGUCAAUGCUACGUUUUCUUCUAAAUCAAUAAUUUUUCCCCAUCGAAUAUUACACACUUUCCAUAUGUGCACUAAGCAUAAUAAUAGAAAAUACACCAAUCCUCUUCUCUUAAAACAACUCCUAACACUUCUACAACCUUUACAUCUAUA